GUGCUCAUUUUGGCUGCACAUAUACUAAAAUUGGAAUGAUACAGAGAAGAUUAGCAUGCACGCUAUACAAGGAUGACACACUAAUUCAUAAAGCAUUCCAUAUUUUG